GCCUACGACCAUACCAUGCUGAAUAUACCGGUUCUCGUCCGAUCACCGAAGUCAAGCAGCAUAGGGCUCGGUUAGUACUUGGAUGGGGAGACCGCCUGGGAAUACCGGGUGUUGUAGGCU
rnacentral:rRNA from 1 species